AUACGUAGGGUGCGAGCGUUGUCCGGAAUUACUGGGCGUAAAGAGCUCGUAGGUGGUUUGUCGCGUCGUCUGUGAAAUUCCGGGGCUUAACUCCGGGCGUGCAGGCGAUACGGGCAUAACUUGAGUACUGUAGGGGAGACUGGAAUUCCUGGUGUAGCGGUGAAAUGCGCAGAUAUCAGGAGGAACACCGGUGGCGAAGGCGGGUCGCUGGGCAGAAACUGACGCGGAGGAGCGAAAGCAUGGGUGGCGAACAGGAUUAGAUACCCUGGUAGUCCAUGCCGUAAACGGUGGGCGCUAGGUGUAGGGGUCUUCCACGACUUCUGUGCCGUAGCUAACGCAUUAAGCGCCCCGCCUGGGGAGUACGGCCGCAAGGCUAAAACUCAAAGGAAUUGACGGGG
rnacentral:rRNA from 1 species